rnacentral:rRNA from 1 species
AUUGAACGCUGGCGGCAUGCUUUACACAUGCAAGUCGAACGGUAACAGGCCGCAAGGUGCUGACGAGUGGCGAACGGGUGAGUAAUGCAUCGGAACGUGCCCAGUCGUGGGGGAUAACUACUCGUAAGAGUAGCUAAUACCGCAUACGAUCUAUGGAUGAAAGCGGGGGACCGUAAGGCCUCGCGCGAUUGGAGCGGCCGAUGUCAGAUUAGGUAGUUGGUGGGGUAAAGGCUCACCAAGCCAACGAUCUGUAGCUGGUCUGAGAGGACGACCAGCCACACUGGGACUGAGACACGGCCCAGACUCCUACGGGAGGCAGCAGUGGGGAAUUUUGGACAAUGGGCGCAAGCCUGAUCCAGCAAUGCCGCGUGCAGGAAGAAGGCCUUCGGGUUGUAAACCGCUUUUGUACGGAACGAAACGGCUCUGGUUAAUACCCGGGGCUAAUGACGGUACCGUAAGAAUAAGCACCGGCUAACUACGUG